CCCAAAUUCGGGUGCUCGAAACCCUAAUUCACUGCUCACGAUAUAAAACUUCCAGAAUAUAAUAAACAUAAACUUAAUAAAGUUAUUACAUCAAAGUUCUUCUAAUCCCAGGUACGCAAACCUUUAAGCGUUUAUCACGUGAUAGUUUAAUAUUUACAAACAUGAAAACUAUCUAUUACAACACUCUUCAGCUAUUCAGCUAUUUUUCCUUUUCCCUUGUCUUUUCCAGACCCUUCUGCCCGAGUCUGCUCAGCUGAAGAUAUUUAAUAAAACAAGUAUGAGCAUUUAAUUGCUCAGCAAAUAAUAGCAUUCUUUAAAGCUUAAAAAGAAAUAAAUGUUUUCCUUUGAAGCAUGCUUUAACAGUGAAUCAAAUCUGUAAAGCAAUAAAUCUUGAAUCAUUCACAUUUUUGAAAUAUCAUGACAACAUUGAAUAACUGAGAGGUUUUAAGACCAUGAACAUAUUUUUCUUUUCUUGAAAAGGUUCAAUCAGAAAUAUUAUCAGAUGAACCGUCUUAACUUACGAGCACGUAGGGUGAUCAGCCCUUUAUGCCCUGUAUUGAUCAAUACUAUCUUUUUCAGAACAAUUUUCAUGUUCUACAUCACCACUCCCAGAGUGCAAUAAAAAUAUCCCAUUUAAGGGUAUGUUCAUCCUCAGUUUUAGAUUCCAACUACAACAAUAUAGCUGGACAGCUUAAAUCAUGGCACAAUAAUAUUUCAAGACUUAAUAUAAAGAAAUUGAAAUAUUUCACAGCUGUGUCUGGCCAGAAGGAAUGGCUCAGACUUCUUUGCAACCUGUUCAUGCAUAAGAUAAUAGCUUACCCAAUCUUUUAAAGCUGAUUGGAAUAAAAAGAUUAUUCAAUCUUACAAUAUUCAUAAAUAAUGAAAGACAGUUCAAAAAUUAGAGAACCUGUCAACAUAUGAAUAAUCUCAAAAUACUUGCUCAAUAAAGAGUAAGAUUUAGAUACUUGCCUUGUUUGCAGACUAUUUGUAUAAUUUCAGCUUAACUUGUGUAUUCUCACAGAUCCUACAUAAUUGUGUGCAUUCACAAUCAUGUCAACCAAAUAGCCAAAUCAUAUAGCUGGUAAGUUCAUGUAUUACAUAAUCACAGUGAUCAUAUGAAAUAUUUUUAUACAUUUUUCAAAUAUCUCAUCCAUGUUAUUAUAACAAUAAUUUCUUUCUGGUCUAACAUACUUUCUGUUCAUAAGCUUUGUUAUGAAUUUAGUUCAUAUUUCUUUUCUAAGUUAGGCCAAGAUAGCUCUCUUCGUAAUAUUAGUAACUCUUUGUGACACUAACAGCUUAAACUUAGGUUGAGAAAUUUGUAGCUCUCAUAACGCUUUGUAACUUUGUUCUAGUAUACCAAAGUGUUAAAUACUCCUGUUUUCCCCUUUCUAACAAAACAGUCCCAAAUUGACUCAUUGUGUGACAAUUAAGUUUUGUUUAACUAUAUGGGGCUUAGCCAAGCUUGGAAUGGCCAUACAUAGCCCCGUAAUCCCAUAUAUAGCCUAACAGCCUCCCCUUGGCUCUAGAUCAUUAUUUCAUUAACUUCAACGUACAAAUUACUAGUUCGCUUACCUUAGAGUUGAAAUUUACAAUAUUGAUUUGAUUUAUUCAAAACAACUCUCUAAUAUAGCUUUGUUUAGUUUUUAUAAUUUCUAAUUAAUUAGUUCAAACAUACUAAAUGGUAGAUUCGUUAUGGACUCUAAUUACAUACCACAAAAUGAACUAUAAUGAUUCUUGAUGAUUAGUUUUAUUAUUGUCUAACCAAAAUAGCUUCUCAAGACUGCUUUAACAGUCAUUUUCUUGCCAACUGUUGCUGUCCAAAGGCAGCAGCCCGCUAUUUUUGGCUCAUCAAUUUAUGUCUUUAGACCCUUUACAAAAAUUGCUUAAUAUCAUUUAAGGUGAUACAUUUAUUUAUGAAAAUAACUCACUAGUUGCAACAAUACACAAUACUAUGUGAGUUCAAAAAUAUUUACCAAGACAAAACCACUUAACAAGUAGCAAUUAACUGACUAUGCAGCUUAGCAUAGCAUAGCAACAUACACUAGUUGCUGUAGUCUAUAGUAGCUCAGUUCAAUUAUUUCCCCUUUCACAGCUCCUAUUUAAAAAGUUUAAAACCCAAGAUAGCUAAGUUUGGUUAUACUCAAACUCUAGAACUUAAAAGCUACCAUAGUGGCCUUAUCAAACAGUCCCAACACAAAAAAAAAAAAUAGCUCAACAUUUUAGCUACAUAAGGUAACUGCAGCAGCACAGUAUACCCAGCAGCGCGCUGGUGCGCCACUGCAACUGCUGCGUCUAGCAGUUGCUCAACAGCCCAAUUUGCGACCUUUUAACUUUUAGCUCGUUUACCAAAUUAAAACAAUCUUUAAGUAUCUAAUACAUACCAUAUGAGACUGUAUUUAGAAGUUAUAACCUCUUCAUUUUAGGCCCUAAACGCUGUCUAAAACAGUGUUCAUACAAGCCAUGUAGCACUAAAAUUUCCUUAUUUUCGUUUUGGCUUAAACUGCUUUUCGCUCUAAAUUAGUAAUUUCAAAUUCUCUAAUUAACAUCCCAUAUGUUGUAUAACUCAAGCCCAAGCUUUACUUCUAACAAAUUUUUGGUUUUAGACAAAAACAGUCCAUUAAGGACUUUUGUCAAGCACUCGGAGGGCAUAUUUUUAAAAUUCUGUUUUCAUGGCCAUUGUUUUAUAUCAUAAACUCAUGUUUAUCCUCCUUAUUACUCCACAACCCAACCUAUCUCCUCUAGCUAUUUAUCAACCAAUAGCAGUCCAAAACACAGACAAAGCAUGAAUGCACAAACCAACUGUUUUGUUCUAAUUCACAAUAACCCAUUUUGCUCAAUACUAACAUCACAGCUAACAAAAACUUAGUGAAUUAAUUCACAUACCUUUCACUUGAUUGCUUAUAAUUUCUUACUAUUCUGCAACUUAGUCCCAGUUGCUCAAGGAUAUAACGAAGCUUUCAAAUUAUUUUCUUGUGCCCGCCGAAUAUAAAUACGGGAGAUUGGAGUAACUCAAUUGUGAUUAGAUGGAGAGGAAAUCGGUAAUUGCCUUAGUAAGGAACGAAAUUGGUUGAGAGAGAAGGAAAGGCAGAGAAUUAUUGGGAGCCUUCGAUUUAUAUAAUGUUAUUCCCUUACUUCCCACAUUAUAGCUUAACCAAAUCAGAAGUCUAUUUGUAUAAUACAAGGACAGCUCCUCCUUGCCAUAGGCUGAUCCAGCUAAGUCCCCCUAAUCUCAAUACAGCUCACACUUUCCUUCUUUACUGAUGACCUUAGUAAUCCAUAAGACCAUGUUUGGUUUUUUUUUUUUUAUGCAGUUCAGCCUUAGCUUAGUAAGGUUAUUACUAUUUAGUUACUCAUAAAGUACCAGUGCACAUAUUCUAUAGUAUUG
rnacentral:lncRNA from 1 species